GUACUGUCAUGUUCGAAAUAACUUUCAUUCUGGGCUGAUUUUGGUGACAGUUUCCCACUUAAUUUGUGACAAACGCUCCUAACUUUGAAGAGGUUUGCCACAAUAUAUUUUAUAUUUGAGAUUCUUCGAAGUAGCCACCCUUUCCUUGAUGACAGCUUUGCACACUCUUGGGAUUGUGCAAAGGGACCAAAACGUCCCUUUGUGUGCUCCUACCACUUCUUUGACCAGAAGCCUACAGUGGAGCAUCCUUACCCAGAGAAAUGGAUUUGCUAUGAUGCUCCAAUCAUGAAGAAGCGUCGGGCGUUGGUCAGGCAGUCAUCAGUGACAGGACCCUAUACCCCUCUUAGGCCUCCCCCAUCUGAGAUUUCUACUGCAGCCGCCAUCCUUCACAUACAACACCCGUUUUGCCAGUCACAUUUUAUUAAAGGUCCCCAAAGUACACCCAUCCUUGGGUCGCUUGUCUUUUCAGUUCGCUGCAGCUAGCGACUGGAACGAGCUGCAAACAAACACUCAAACUGGACAGGC
rnacentral:lncRNA from 1 species